rnacentral:rRNA from 1 species
CAGUCGCCGCGGGAAUACGUAGGGUGCAAGCGUUAAUCGGAAUUACUGGGCGUAAAGCGUGCGCAGGCGGUUAUAUAAGACAGAUGUGAAAUCCCCGGGCUCAACCUGGGAACUGCAUUUGUGACUGUAUAGCUAGAGUACGGCAGAGGGGGAUGGAAUUCCGCGUGUAGCAGUGAAAUGCGUAGAUAUGCGGAGGAACACCGAUGGCGAAGGCAAUCCCCUGGGCCUGUACUGACGCUCAUGCACGAAAGCGUGGGGAGCAAACAGGAUUAGAUACCUCGGUAGUCCCUGUCUCUUAUAC